UGGGGAAUCUUGGACAAUGGGGGCAACCCUGAUCCAGCCAUGCCGCGUGAGUGAUGAAGGCCUUAGGGUCGUAAAGCUCUUUCGCCUGUGAAGAUAAUGACGGUAGCAGGUAAAGAAACCCCGGCUAACUCCGUGCCAGCAGCCGCGGUAAUACGGAGGGGGUUAGCGUUGUUCGGAAUUACUGGGCGUAAAGCGCACGUAGGCGGACCAGAAAGUUGGGGGUGAAAUCCCGGGGGCUCAACCCCGGAACUGCCUCCAAAACUAUUGGUCUAGAGUUCGAGAGAGGUGAGUGGAAUUCCAAGUGUAGAGGUGAAAUUCGUAGAUAUUUGGAGGAACACCAGUGGCGAAGGCGGCUCACUGGCUCGAUACUGACCUGAGGUGCGAAAGUGUGGGGAGCAAACAGGAUUAGAUACCCUGGGUA
rnacentral:rRNA from 1 species